CUGUGCUUCUUUGUCUACAAU
rnacentral:miRNA from 1 species